UACGGGGGGGAGCAAGCGUUGUUCGGAUUUACUGGGCGUAAAGGGCGCGUAGGCGGCCAGCACAAGUCAGUUGUGAAAUCUCCGAGCUUAACUCGGAAAGGUCAACUGAUACUGUGCGGCUAGAGUGCGGAAGGGGCAACUGGAAUUCUUGGUGUAGCGGUGAAAUGCGUAGAUAUCAAGAGGAACACCUGAGGUGAAGACGGGUUGCUGGGCCAACACUGACGCUGAUGCGCGAAAGCCAGGGGAGCAAACGGG
rnacentral:rRNA from 1 species